CUUGAUUUUAAAGAUUUCCUAAGUAGUAAAUGGAAACUUAAAAAUUUGACAGUAUUUAAUUUUCUAAAGGAAUAUGUAAUAUAAUCGUCAAUACACGUUUAAUCUUACUUAUUUUUUUUUGUAUCUCCGUUGUCAGAUUUUAUUUAAUAUUAAAAUAAUUUUCUUAAUAAAAGUUUUUAAUACUUCAGGUCAAGGUGCAGAAUAAAUAAGACAUUAUGUAUUACAAUCAAAAUUAUUUUAAUUAUUUUAUAUAUUUUAUUGUUUUUGUUGUUUUUUAUUAGUUUUCUAACUUUAAUGUGCGGAAUUUUUCAUUUUUUUUAGGGUUGCAAAUUU
rnacentral:rRNA from 1 species